rnacentral:rRNA from 1 species
GAUGAACGCCGGCGGCGUGCUUAACACAUGCAAGUCGAACGAAGCAAUUAUGAUUGAGAUUUCGGUUGAUUGAUUAAUUGACUUAGUGGCGGACGGGUGAGUAACGCGUGGGUAACCUGCCUCGUACAGGGGGAUAACAGUUAGAAAUGACUGCUAAUACCGCAUAACCCGCUAAGGUCGCAUGACCUGGACGGAAAAGAUUUAUCGGUACGAGAUGGACCCGCGUCUGAUUAGCUAGUUGGUGAGGUAACGGCUCACCAAGGCGACGAUCAGUAGCCGGCCUGAGAGGGUGAACGGCCACAUUGGGACUGAGACACGGCCCAAACUCCUACGGGAGGCAGCAGUGGGGAAUAUUGCACAAUGGGGGAAACCCUGAUGCAGCGACGCCGCGUGAGUGAAGAAGUAUUUCGGUAUGUAAAGCUCUAUCAGCAGGGAAGAAAAUGACGGUACCUGACUAAGAAGCCCCGGCUAACUACGUGCCAGCCGCCGCUGUAACAC